rnacentral:rRNA from 1 species
AGAAAGCAAUUAAGGGCGUACGGUGGAUGCCUUGGCUCUCAAAGACGAUGAAGGACGUGAUAGGCUGCGAUAAGCUACGGGGAAGUGCCGAAUAACUUUUGAUCCGUAGAUUUCCGAAUGGGGAAACCCGAUCCUAUAUGGAUCACCCGCAAGGGAGGCAACCCGCUGAACUGAAACAUCUAAGUAGGCGGAGGAAGAGAAAAUAAUUUAAUGAUUCCCCAAGUAGUGGCGAGCGAACGGGGAAGAGCCCAAACCGUAACAGUUUCGGCUGUUGCGGGGUUGUAGGACCUGUAUAAUUCUUAUAAUACGAAGCGGAAGCGAUCUGGAAAGGUCUGCCACAGAAGGUGAAAGCCCUGUAUGCGUAAAAUAUUAUAAGAUGACGGGUAUCCUGAGUAGUGCGGGACCGGAGAAAUCCUGCAUGAAUCUGCCAGCACCAUCUGGUAAGGCUAAAUACUCUUGAGAGACCGAUAGUGAACCAGUACCGUGAGGGAAAGGUGAAAAGAACCCUGAAUAAGGGAGUGAAAUAGUACCUGAAACCGUGCGCUUACAAGCGGUCGGAGCCCAUUUAUGGGUGACGGCGUGCCUUUUGCAUAAUGAUCCUACGAGUUACUCCUCUCUGGCAAGGUUAAGUAUUUAAGAUACGCAGCCGUAGCGAAAGCGAGUCUUAACAGGGCGAAAUAGAGUCAGAGGGGGUAGACGCGAAACCUUGUGAUCUACCCAUGGUCAGGGUGAAGGCUGGGUAACACCAGCUGGAGGCCCGAACUGAUUAGCGUUGAAAAGCUACCGGAUGAACUGUGGGUAGGGGUGAAAGGCCAAUCAAACUGGGAAAUAGCUCGUACUCCCCGAAAUGUUUUUAGGAACAGCGUCAGCUAAAUGUGUAAUACAGGUAGAGCUACUGUUUGGGCUAGGGGGCUUCACCGCCUACCAAACCCAUGCAAACUCCGAAUGGUAUUACAUUGUACUGGCAGUGAGGCAUAGGGUGCUAAGGUCCUGUGCCGAGAGGGAAACAACCCAGACCAUCAGCUAAGGUCCCCAAAUAUAUACUAAGUUGUUAAAACGAUGUUCGGUUGCAUAGACAGCCAGGAUGUUGGCUUGGAAGCAGCCAUUCAUUCAAAGAGUGCGUAACAGCUCACUGGUCGAGCGAUCGAGCGCGGAUAAUAAUCGGGCAUAAAGUAUAUUACCGAAGCUAUGGACUCUACGGAGUGGUAGGGGAGCAUUCUAAUCGCAUUGAAGGUGUAUUGUAAAGUAUGCUGGAGCUUUUAGAAAAGAAAAUGUAGGAAUAAGUAACGAUAAUCAAGAUGAGAAAUCUUGACGCCGAAAAACUAAGGUUUCCUGGUCAAUGUUAAUCAGAUCAGGGUUAGUCGGGGCCUAAGGAUAACCCGAAGGGGGAUGCCGAUGGACAACUGGUUAAUAUUCCAGUACUCACUAAUAGUGUGAUGGGGCGACGGAGUAGUGACAUGCACGCGUACUGACGGAAUAGUACGUUAAAGGGCGUAGGUAUAUUUUGAGCAGGCAAAUCCGCUCAGAAUGCUGAAACCUGAUAGUACCGCAAGCCUUCGGGUGAGUGGAUAGUUGCAGUAAUCAGACUUCCAAGAAAAACCUCUAAACUUCAGCUAUUAGUACCCGUACCGUAAACCGACACAGGUAGUUGAGAAGAAUAUUCUAAGGCGCUCGAGUGAUUCAUGGCUAAGGAACUCGGCAAAUUAACCCUGUAACUUCGGGAUAAAGGGUGCCUGCAGCAAUGCAGGCCGCAGAGAAUAGGCCCAGGCGACUGUUUAUCAAAAACACAGGGCUUUGCAAAAUCGAAAGAUGAAGUAUAAGGCCUGACACCUGCCCGGUGCUGGAAGGUUAAAAGGAGAUGUUAGGGGCAACCCGAAGCAUUGAAUUGAAGCCCCAGUAAACGGCGGCCGUAACUAUAACGGUCCUAAGGUAGCGAAAUUCCUUGUCGGGUAAGUUCCGACCUGCACGAAUGGUGUAACGAUCUGGGCACUGUCUCGGCCAUGAGCUCGGUGAAAUUGUAGUAUCGGUGAAGAUGCCGAUUACCCGCAACGGGACGGAAAGACCCCGUGAACCUUUACUAUAGCUUAACAUUGCUGCUGGGUAAAUGAUGUGUAGGAUAGGUGGGAGGCCGCGAAGCGGGAGCGCCAGCUCUCGUGGAGCCAACCUUGAAAUACCACCCUUCGUUUAUCUGGCAUCUAACUCCCUUGAUGGGGAAGACAGUGUUUGGUGGGUAGUUUGACUGGGGUGGUCGCCUCCAAAAGAGUAACGGAGGCUUCUAAAGGUACCCUCAGCACGCUUGGUAACCGUGCGUUGAGUGCAAUAGCAUAAGGGUGCUUGACUGAGAGACUGACAAGUCAACCAGGGACGAAAGUCGAGUAUAGUGAUCCGGUGGUUCCAUAUGGAAGGGCCAUCGCUCAAAGGAUAAAAGGUACUCCGGGGAUAACAGGCUGAUCUCCCCCAAGAGCUCACAUCGACGGGGAGGUUUGGCACCUCGAUGUCGGCUCGUCACAUCCUGG